rnacentral:rRNA from 1 species
GGGGAAUCUUCCGCAAUGGACGAAAGUCUGACGGAGCAACGCCGCGUGAGUGAUGACGGCCUUCGGGUUGUAAAGCUCUGUUAAUCGGGACGAAAGGUCCUCUUGCGAAUAGUUAGAGGAAUUGACGGUACCGGAAUAGAAAGCCACGGCUAACUACGUGCCAGCAGCCGCGGUAAUACGUAGGUGGCAAGCGUUGUCCGGAAUUAUUGGGCGUAAAGCGCGCGCAGGCGGAUCAGUCAGUCUGUCUUAAAAGUUCGGGGCUUAACCCCGUGAUGGGAUGGAAACUGCUGAUCUAGAGUAUCGGAGAGGAAAGUGGAGUUCCUAGUGUAGCGGUGAAAUGCGUAGAUAUUAGGAAGAACACCAGUGGCGAAGGCGACUUUCUGGACGAAAACUGACGCUGAGGCGCGAAAGCCAGGGGAGCGAACGGGAUUAGAUACCCCGGUAGUCCUGGCCGUAAACGAUGGGUACUAGGUGUAGGAGGUAUCGACCCCUUCUGUGCCGGAGUUAACGCAAUAAGUACCCCGCCUGGGGAGUACGACCGCAAGGUUG